UACGGGGGGAGCAAGCGUUGUUCGGAUUUACUGGGCGUAAAGGGCGCGUAGGCGGCCACCGCAAGUCGGUUGUGAAAUCUCCGGGCUUAACCCGGAAAGGUCAAUCGAUACUGCGGGGCUAGAGUGCGGAAGGGGCAACUGGAAUUCUCGGUGUAGCGGUGAAAUGCGUAGAUAUCGAGAGGAACACCUGCGGCGAAGGCGGGUUGCUGGGCUGACACUGACGCUGAAGCGCGAAAGCUAGGGGAGCGAACGGG
rnacentral:rRNA from 1 species